rnacentral:misc_RNA from 1 species
GAUGAAGAACGCAGUGAAAUGCGAUAAGUAAUGUGAAUUGCAGAGUUCAGUGAAUCAUCGAAUCUUUGAACGCACAUUGCGCCCGUCAGUAUUCUGACGGGCAUGCCUGUCCGAGCGUCAUUUCAACCCUCAAGCACUGCUUGGCGUUGGCGGAUUGCGUGCCCUCGCGGCGCUGCAACCGCCCAAAUACAGUGGCGGUCCCGCUGCGGCUCCCUUUGCGUAGUAACUCACCUCGCACUGGACCGGGCGGCGGCCUGCCGUAAAACCCCAACUCACGAAAUGUUGACCUCGGAUCAGGUAGGAAUACCCGCUGAACUUAAGCAUAUCAUAAGCGGAGGA